UGCUUGGGGUCCUCAUACCCAUUCAUUAACCCUCCUUCAAUAUAGAGGAGCUCGGAUUGAGGUCUUUGGGUCUUGGCACAGCGAAUGGUUCUUACACUGGUUCAUUAACGCGCUUCAAAUCUUGAUGAGCUGAAAUUGCGUUUUUUCUUUGGGUCUGGGUGUAAGUAAUGGUUCUGAUACUUGUUCAUUAGCCCUUUUCAAAUCUCAAUGAGGUAAAAUAAGGUGGUAUCCUUGGGCUUUCAAGUUGGGAAUAAUAGUUCUGAGAUGAGUUCAUUAACCCUCUUAACAAAUAAACUACGAUUGAGAUUUUCUUUGGGCAUUGGUGGAGGGAAUAGUUUUGAUAGCAAAUCAUGAACCCAUUUCAAAUCUAGACUUGCCCAAACUCGGUUUCUUUGGAACUUGGAAUAAGGAAUGCUUCCGAAACAUACUCAUUAACCCUCUUCAGUUCUAGAUUAGCUAAAAUUGGAUUAACUGUUCAGGCCUUGAUAGGGAGAAUUGUUCUGAUGCCCAUUUAUUAACCCUCUUCAAAUCUAGGCUCAAAACAUACCUAUUCCGGUCUGCUUAGCGCCAUUUAUUAUGCUGUUGCUCCCUGUUGCACAUCUCAUUUGCAAAGACCCCCCACCCCUUACACAAAAUUGUAAAUGUAUUAUUAUUAUCCCUCCAGUAAACCACCAUAAAUGUUCUUGUAAUCCUUCCAGUUUGUCAUCUCUUAGCCUUCCCAUUGACUGUGACUGUGGUAGGCAGCAAUGUGGGAUAGACAGAACAGGACUGAUCCAGUUUGAGUGCACACAUGGAGAUCAUGUUUGUGCAUUUGAUGACUAAUGCUUAUAGAUUGGAACAGACCUUGGCUUCUGUGCUGAUUCAGGUGUCGUAGGCCCGAAAAGAAAAUGGUGCAUUUUUGUCAGGAAUGCAGUUAUGUAAAGCUGAGAAACGCGAAACACUUGACCGUUGAUUCGUGUCUCAUUUGGAUGAGGUGAUGAAAUGCCAUCGCUUGUAUUCGUAUCGAUGGACUCCAUUUUAUACGGCGACGAUCCCGAUUUAAUGUGUCCUCUGCAACGCUCACGCCUGUAAGGCUGUCAUGCAUCCAGCACAGAUUAUGAAUGAAACCGCCGCGUUACAUGCGGUACAUUUUGGGUCGUAGUGUAUUUACAUGAAUGAGAAUUACAGUUAAGGGUAGGUAGGUGGGAUUUACAAAACAAAAAAAAAAAAAACAAGCCGAUGCUGCCUCUGAAGCAUUAAUUAAACAAGCUGCACGUAUGUGAGCCGAAGCGGGGGGAAGGGCCACGCUCGUUGAGCAUGAGAGUCAAGGAACAGCUCCUUGCCAUGCAUGAGUAUGUGGCAAUGUGGUGUGGAGCCGCCGCAUCGUCCGUUUUUUGGGGUUUUUUUGUCUUUUUUUUUUUAUCCCAUACGCCGCAUUUUAAAAUGUGUGCGCGAGGCAGUAGGAGCACGGAGGUGAGAAGAACAUGAAGAAGAAGCAGCAGCAGCACAGGGGCAAAAUGGAGGCUGAGUUUUUCAAUGAUGCCCCUGAGCAGAGACGCAGCCUGGAAAGAGAUAAGGAAAUGCGGUGUCUUUUUCCCCUCUCCCCCAUCUAUAUACUCUGCUUUCAUUUCACACAUCACAACAAUGUGCGAUUAUGCAAGCAAGUACUGUGACUUAAGUCACACGUAAGUCAAACGUGUAACUAAUAUCUAUUGCUCAUUUGAAGCCAACAUGAUCAAAAGCCUACAGAAUUGUUCUUCUUUGCCAAAUCCUGAUCGUUGUGGUCAUAAACAUCCAUCAUCAACCUCUUCUACCCAUUGUAAAAACAAUACAGCCUAUUUGGCAACCACCUUUAACAUUAUAAAAGCUCAGUUUUUCGAUUUGCAAUGUGACGUAGAAUGCAAAGGAUGUUGGAGUUUUCCUUCAACAUAUGUGUAACGUCAUUGUGAUGAGACGAAACGACAACUAGCAAUAUCUGUAAGUCAAACAUGAAUGAAACUGCUAUCGGCAACGUCACAAUGACGUCAUCUCUGAUAUCUCACAACUCAGUUGCAGACAUCUGAUCAGUCGAUUCCAUGUACUGUAUCUGCAACACCAUUGUAGACAUCUGGAGCUCCAAUUUAUCUACAGUGUGAUUCUGAUUCGUCCAAAUUUCAGUUCAAGAUAUCUUUAAUUCGCUGCAUAAAUAUGGCGGCGCCCCCUUUUGUUUCUUCCCCAGAGAGAGUGUGUGUGUGUGUGUGUGUGUAUGUGUGUGUGUGUGUGUCGUUGUCGUCGUAUAUAUAUACACACACACAUAUAUAUAUAUAUAUAUAGAGAGAGAGAGAGAGAGAGAGAGAGAGAGGUUUAAAUGUGUGUGUAUUAUAGUUUUAAAUGGGUGAAGUGCCUGAUGUAAGUCUGACAAGUCAGAAUCAAAUUUCACAUAUUUCAAAGUACAGUUUGAGAUAUCUACCACCCUGUUGCAGAUGUCUAGUUCGACUAAUCUCAACACGUUUGUUCGUUAACUCGGUUGCAAAUUCCAAAUGUUCAAAAUGAAAAUUACAAUGUCGGAAAAACAUAGUGAAAUCUAACAUAACUCAUUGAAACAAAAAUACCCUCUCGAAAUGUUUGUUUAGCCAAAUCCUUUAGUGUCAUAAACAUACACCAACAAGAUUUUCUAAAGAUCUUUUUAAAAUUCAUACAGCAAAUACGCAAUGUGCCAUUUAAUAAGGAUAUCCGUCAAGCUGGAAAAAAAACAUGCUGGAAUUGUGUAGGGAUAUAGUGGGUUGGAAACAAGAUAAAUAAACCAAUAAAGGCAGGUGCUGUGGCGAGGUGGAGGCGUUGGCGGUGGUGGUGGUUGUGGUGGGUGGUAAGGUGGGGGGUGUUGGGUUAUGUAAGAGGAGGGAGUCUGUGGUGCUGUCAUAGAGGGAGAAGGCCUCUGACAGCGUGGACGAGCAUCUGUCCCUUCAUCUCUUCAAAUCAAGCCAACCGUGUACGAACGAGAUGAACCCCGGCCUGGCAAACUGCUCAUCCCCGGGAAAUGUGGCGAUGAAGGACCCCUCCUUCCUCUUCCACGGCUAACCUAGAGUGGGUUAGAAAUCAAACACGCCCAAGCACAUCAAAUGCACUUUGCCUUUCAUAACAAGUCGUGUGGCGGACCGGAGGCAAUAACCGCGCACCGUCACUCCCAAUGUUUUGAGCAAGACAUUGAUAACAUCAUCGAUGUUGUCUUCUGUUGUUUGUAUAUACUGUAAAAUGCCUCCUGCGCAAUGAACGGUGAACCCCUGUAAAUCCGUGGUAUUUAAAGUUCACGUAUGCUGAAUGCAAAUUUAAAUGUAUUGAAGCACAGCUAUUUAAAGCACAGGUGUCAAGCUCGAGGCCUGGGUGCCAGAUCCGGCCCGCCACGUCAGUUUAUGUGGCCUGCGAAAGCAAAUCCUCUGUGUCAAUUUACACGAUCCAUGUUAAAAUCUGUACCGAAAUGUCAAACUGUCAUGUGUAAUAAGUAACAUGGAGAUUUUGCAUUCAUUUUCUUGACCUGUUUACAUUCACUUCAACAAUAAUUUCACAAACGAUGAACGUUGACAGAUUUCAAAACAAGUCAUCCAUCAAUUUGUUACAUGCAGAAAUUAAUGCAAUGAGAUGAUGAAUCAUAUAUUUGUUUUCACGUAUAGCUAAGCCCCCAAAUUUUCAAAAUGAUAUAAUGACCACGGGGCGGCUCGGUAACGAGUGGUUUGCACUUUGACCUCAAAGUGCAAAAGUACUGGGUUCAAUUCCGGCUCUGGCCUUCCCGUGUGGAGUUUUCAUGUUCUCCCUGUGCCUGCGUGGGUUUUCUCCGGGUACUCCGGUUUCCUCCCACAUUCCAAAAACAUGCAUAACAGGCUGAUUGAACACUCAAAAUUGUCCCUAGGUGUGAAGCUGACAACCUCCAAGAAAAUGAAAAUUGCAUUUAAGAGACGACCCUACUUAAAAUACAAGUUUAUGGCUGAAGGUGAUUCUGACACACCAAGCCCACUCUGCUUAAUUAAUAUGUCAACAGGCUUGCAAAUGAGCCAUGUGGAGCCUUUAAAAAUGCUCUGGCAAUAUGGAGUUGUGUUCUGAAUUCAAAUCAAGGCAGAAAAUCCAAGAGUUGCUAAAAAAAAUCCUUGCUCCCAUUUCCAUUUGUCAAGCAGGCUUUUCUGCAAUAAGCACAACAAAAUGACAGAGUAGACUCAAAGUAACAAACCUUAGGUGUCAUUUUCUCCCCGACAUUUCAACCAACUACAUUCAGCACAAUGUUUUCAUGAUUUUAUUUCUUUCCUCUGUUUGCCAGUCGGUCCAUUAAAAUAUUACUUUCCAUAAAACUGGUCCAUGGCCCAAAAAAAGGUUGGGGAUGGGUUUUUGAAUGUAAAUUUGAGGCCAUAUCGGCAGCUUCAGUCAGAAAUCUCCCCUGGUUUUUCCCCCCGCGGCCGCCAAUCUGUCUUUGUGCAGCUCUGGAGCUAUGAUUGCUCUUAAACAUUCAUGAGAUGUUACUUUAUUUAUAACCAGCCAGGCUCAUUCUCUCCACCAAACUCCUCUUUUGUUUAUUACCGGUCCUCCGUAGUGUUUGCAUGUGGCUAGGUUUUCGAUUAAUUCACAGGCGCAGUGGGCGUUCCGUGUCGAACACUCCCAUAGGUGAUUACCACUUGAAAGCCCAAAGGCCUUGAUCAGAAAUGCUUGCGUGCGCGUGUGCGCGUCUUCCUCAGUCACAUUGAGUUAUUGUGUCACCGGCGCGUACAUCCGUCUGAUGAGAUUUUGUCCGCACUGAUGCGAUUUGCCCUUCCUUGUAACAGCAUCCGGGGGUAUUAACAAACGGCCUUGUCAUGUGCUAAAUAUGCGAACGUCUUGCGUUUCGUGCGAUUUUGAAACAUUGAAUUCGUUUUCUCCUUCCAUAGGAUGACCAGAUAAUAAUUUUUAAAUAGUACACACACACAUAU